rfam:Erinaceus europaeus unplaced genomic scaffold scaffold00446, whole genome shotgun sequence
UGGACGCACGGCCUCCCCCAUCUGCAUCGGAAUGUAGAAAGGACCUUUCAAAAAAAAGUUUUGAAUUCCUCAAUGAUUUUCCUUCUGGAAGGGCGGCUUAGGAUAAUUAUUUCAGCUUUUAUUGAGGGCAGAUUAGCCGAGUCUGGACUCCGCAUCUCAAUACCACAGUCUGGCCUUUGUCCGUCGUGCGUGUGG